rnacentral:tRNA from 1 species
AGCGGCAUGGCCUAGUGGAAAGACACCGAGCCUGAGAUUCAGAGGCCUUGGGUUCUAAUCCCGGUUCCGCUA